rnacentral:lncRNA from 1 species
AUGCUCACAUGAGGCAUUCUUCCUUUACCAGUCCAAAUGCUAUACCGGUUAAACUCCGCCAUUUUGCCUCUUAGUGCUCAUGCUUGAGCCCGCUUGCCCAACUCCUGAGAUGUCAUCGGGAAGCUGCUGAUCAGCAAUUACAGAGAUGCUCUUCUCACCUCUCAUUCGGAAUCUACUCUCAAUUAUAUAUAAGACGAGGAAAUGUUCCAACACAUCUGAGGAAACACAUGCCUUCCCAGACUGGCCUGUUGCUGUUUCCCAGGAGCUGCAUUCUGGAAGGUGGACCAUCAGGUGGAAGAAGUAUUCUUCAGAGAGCUGCCUUCCCAAGGGAAUGGUGACAGCUUGCGCUUGCCGGGGAGUCCUGCUGCCUUCCGAGGUGUGAAGGGAAGGCAUGCACUGUGCAUAUGCUGUACCAUACAGUUUUGCCUACAACUGCUUGUAGCUUCAUUGUAGCUGUGAAUGCUCCGUUCCUCUCCUUUUCACCCCUGAAGAUUCGCGAACAUGCAGGAUUGAGCUGUGCGAGGCAUAGCAUUCCCCACAUGGUAGACGAAGGCGGAUGUGGGUCUGAUGGCUCUACUGCCGUCCACCCGGGAGGAUGGACGUGUGUUCCGGGAUAUCAGAGCUUGCGGCUGACCAGCCCACAUGUCCAUGCAGCCCUCCCGCUGGCUGUGUCGACAUUUUGGGUGUCACUGAAGGAUUUUACUGGUGCAGACUUUACAAAGGCAAAAUUGUUUCUCAAGGAAGUGGACAUGAAAGAUCUAAAAUCAGGGCUGCUUAAAAAAAGCAAGCACAGAUUAAUGACCUAUCUACAUCCUACACGGUUUUAGGACUGCGCCUAGAUGGGCUUAAAGACCCUAGCCUAAAAACUGUAAAUGUGCUUCCGUCUUUGCCCUGUAGGACAAGAAAGCCUUACGGGCUUGCUUCUAACUGUGAGAGGAGGAGAGGCCAGGAAGGGAGAGGGAGAAAAGGAGGAGAACAGGAGACGAGAAGGAGGGGAGAGUGAGGAGAGGAGGAGAGAGGCUUGUCAAAAUCUUUUUAGUGCACAAAACUAAUUUUGUUCAUCUUGGAUUUGGUGAGCUGGGUAAUAUUCUGUGCACGGCUCCUAAAUGAAUUAUUAAAUGUCAACUCAAGAUGGCUUAACUAAAAUACUCAAUUUAAUAACCAAAAGUAUCUAAGGUAACAACAACAAUUUUGCAGGUGAUUGUAGAGUUGUCAAGUCAAACCAUUAUAGACAAGCAUUUGGGGUUUUCACAUAAUCUCCUUCCACAUCUCAUCUUCUGUCACUAAAUACCCACUCUGGUGAGCAUAUUCCAUUUCAAUAAAGAUCAUCGCUUCGGUGC